ACCACACCUACUGAACUCUGUGUCUCGAGCCCGUGAGAAGCAACUGCUGAGCUGACAUGCCACACCUACUGAAGCCUGAGUGCCCGAGAACCUGUACUCUGCAACAAGAGAAGCCACCAAAACGAGAAGCUCGUGUACUAUGGUUGUGUUUUAUAAAGAAACUACAAACACCAAAUGGACGAUUUAGGGGAACCCUGGCCCAUUUAGGAGAAAUGGGAACCAACAGCCUCAACACAGGCCUAAGUGAUCUUCUGGCCCCAAAGGAACUCAUUCCAAUCCAGG
ensembl:lncRNA